AACGCAUAUUGCGCUCUACCUCGGUAGAGCAUGCCUGUUUGAGAAUCUAUAGUAUUCAUUCUCUAAGUUUGAUUUGAGCGACCCUCAACUCAUGCUUGGAGAGAUUUGAGAUUUCCCACUAACACUGGGUGUCUUUAAAGCUAUAGCUGUUGGUUUGAUUGAAAUGUUUGACAUUCAGCAAAGCAAUGGAAGAGUAUGUGAAUGGAACCUCGGUUUCUCUAAUGCUUGGUACACUGCAGUUGGAUUUAGUUUUGAUUAGAGCGGCACUCAACUUACGAAAGCCUUGGUCUAAACACCAAGUCUUGAACCAUGGUCUCAAAUCAGGCAGGAGGACCCGCUGAACUUAA
rnacentral:misc_RNA from 1 species